rnacentral:rRNA from 1 species
UACAGAGGCCUCGAGCGUUAAUCGGAGUCACUGGGCUUAAAGGGUGCGUAGGCGGGCCGGCAAGUGCUUUGUGAAAUCCCAUGGCUCAACCAUGGAAUUGCUUGGCAGACUGCCGGUCUUGAGGUCGGUAGAGGUCGCUGGAACUCUAGGUGGAGCGGUGAAAUGCGUAGAUAUCUAGAGGAACGCCAAUGGUGAAGACAGGCGACUGGGCCGAUUCUGACGCUGAGGCACGAAAGCGUGGGGAGCAAACGGG